rnacentral:tRNA from 3 species
GCUGACGUAGCUCAGGGGUAGAGCAGCUGAUUUGUAAUCAGCCGGUCGGGGGUUCAAAUCCCUUCGUCAGCU